rnacentral:rRNA from 1 species
UACGGAGGGUGCGAGCGUUGUCCGGAAUCACUGGGCGUAAAGGGCGCGUAGGCGGACAGCUUAGUCAGAGGUGAAAGCCCAGGGCUCAACCUUGGAAUUGCCUUUGAUACUGGCUGUCUUGAGUUCGGGAGAGGUGAGUGGAAUGCCGAGUGUAGAGGUGAAAUUCGUAGAUAUUCGGCGGAACACCAGUGGCGAAGGCGACUCACUGGCCCGAUACUGACGCUGAGGCGCGAAAGCGUGGGGAGCAAACAGG